AGAGUUUGAUCCUGGCUCAGGAUGAACGCUAGCGGCAGGCUUAAUACAUGCAAGUCGAGGGGCAGCACAGGUAGCAAUACUGGGUGGCGACCGGCAAACGGGUGCGGAACACGUACGGAACCUUCCUUUAAGCGGGGAAUAGCCCAGGGAAACUUGGAUUAAUACCCCAUAAUACUUUUGAGUGGCAUCACUUGAUAGUUAAAGCUCCGGCACUUAAAGAUGGGCGUGCGGCUGAUUAGGUAGUUGGCGGGGUAACGGCCCACCAAGCCAACGAUCAGUAACUGGUGUGAGAGCACGACCAGUCACACGGGCACUGAGACACGGGCCCGACUCCUACGGGAGGCAGCAGUAAGGAAUAUUGGUCAAUGGACGCAAGUCUGAACCAGCCAUGCCGCGUGGAGGAUGAAGGCCCUCUGGGUUGUAAACUUCUUUUAUAGGG
rnacentral:rRNA from 1 species